rnacentral:rRNA from 1 species
AUUGAACGCUGGCGGCAUGCCUUACACAUGCAAGUCGAACGGUAACAGGUUAAGCUGACGAGUGGCGAACGGGUGAGUAAUGUAUCGGAACGUGCCCAGUCGUGGGGGAUAACUGCUCGAAAGAGCAGCUAAUACCGCAUACGACCUGAGGGUGAAAGCGGGUGCUCGCAAGCCCUCGCGCGAUUGGAGCGGCCGAUAUCAGAUUAGGUAGUUGGUGAGGUAAAGGCUCACCAAGCCGACGAUCUGUAGCUGGUCUGAGAGGACGACCAGCCACACUGGGAGUGAGACACGGACCAGACUCCUGCGGGAGGCAGCAGUGGGGAAUGUUGGACAAUGGGCGCAAGCCUGAUCCAGCCAUGCCGCGUGCGAGAAGAAGGCCUUCGGGUUGUAAACCGCGUUUGUCAGGGAAGAAAAGGUUCUGGCUAAUACCUGGGACGAAUGACGGUACCGGAAGAAUAAGCACCGGCUAACUACGUG